AACGAACGCUGGCGGCAGGCUUAACACAUGCAAGUCGAACGGGCGCGAGCAAUCGCGUCAGUGGCAGACGGGUGAGUAACACGUGGGAACCUUCCUAGGGGUACGGAACAACUCAGGGAAACUUGAGCUAAUACCGUAUACGUCCGUAAGGAGAAAGAUUCAUCGCCCCUAGACGGGCCCGCGUCGGAUUAGCUAGUUGGUGGGGUAACGGCCUACCAAGGCGACGAUCCGUAGCUGAUCUGAGAGGAUGAUCAGCCACACUGGGACUGAGACACGGCCCAGACUCCUACGGGAGGCAGCAGUGGGGAAGUCUUGGACAAUGGGCGCAAGCCUGAUCCAGCCAUGCCGCGUGAGUGAAGAAGGCCUUAGGGUUGUAAAGCUCUUUUACCAGGGACGAUAAUGACGGUACCUGGAGAAUAAGCCCCGGCAAACUUCGUGCCAGCCGCCGCCGUAAG
rnacentral:rRNA from 1 species